rnacentral:lncRNA from 1 species
UGGAAUUCGUCAUUGGGGUCCUCACGUGUAAGCAUCACGUGCACCACUAAUUCUGAGUUUCUGACGAAGUCUAAGUUCAGUUAAAAUUCUUUGCAGCAGGAAGGUGGUGUGGUGAGUAGCUCCCUCAACUUGUGAACCGUGAUUAGUCAAAUAAUCAAGUACACGUGGCAUCAUGAAACGCUUCGAAGAAUAACCUCGGCAGGUCUGUCCAGUAUGAUGACAUGUCAGCAACGUUUUACAACAGAAAGCUGCUAUGGGGUAAGCAUGAUAGUGGUAGCGUAGAAGCUGUGUAUGCAUAUCACCCGUCUGUUGAAAUGCUCGCAGUAAUCAAACCUCUUAUAACACUGCUUCAUCUGUCAAGUCAAAUUUUCCUCGGAGUCAAGAAAUGGAGAACUAACAGGUAUGCAUUUCUGAAACCAUUAUUAUAUUCAAACACAAGGAUUCGUAUAAAAGCUUAUAAAUGAUUAUGAAAGUAAGCAUGACGGAAUCAGCAUUUCUUGAUUUUCUUCAAUAAGCGGAAAUAGUGUGUCCCAAUAAAUUUAUAAACGAUGCGUGAAAAUAUUAUAUUAUAUACUUAGUUGUAGUUGAUUGAUUUUCCUUUUAAUCUUCCUGUAAUAUUCCACGACAGAGCUGAUUUAAAGACUUAGCCCAACUCAUUCCUCUAAGUUCAUUAAAUGUUAAUAUUUUUCUGCACCAAGGUUGACUUGAUGGUGCGUUAUUUUCAAUUUUUUUCAUUGACUUGUAUUUUUGGUUUAAUAUUCACAAAAAAUAAAGAAAGCAAUCAGCUCUUGUAACGUGCUCUGUUCUGUUUUCCACCAAAAAUAUAAUUAUUUGUUACCUCUAUUUUAUCAAAUAAUCAUGAUUAAUGCUGCUGGGAAAGCUUUAUUAGUCUUUCUUUUCUUUUAUCGUGGUCGUUGUUUGUAUUUGAUGAUCCCAAAAUACACGCUACGCAAUAUAGCAAUUGUCGAUUCCACAGUAAAGCAUAUAAAAUAAUAAGUAGGUUAUGUGAUCUUUCAUUGUCAUCACCUAGUCUCCAAUUGUUUGCAUUAUUUUCUUUUUGAAAAUGCUUCACGAAAUCAAAUUACUAAUAGAGGUCAUAAAUGUACUGCUCCUGCAUUUUCUUAAUCAUCCCACUUCUCUCAAAUUCUCUGAAAUCCCUUAUACGUCUUCUGGUCUCGUUUUCAUAAUAAUCGUUGUCCUAAACCUUCUUUGCAGAUCUUUCACUGUGCUCCCUUUUUCUUAUUUCUAGCUUUUUGCUUUUCUUUUUCACAUGGUCUUUAUUUAUAUUUGAUGUUUCCAAAUAUACACGCAACUAUUUGUGGGGAGUUAUGUUGCAACAGUGGUACGAUAUUAUUGUUGCUUUCAAUCAUUGAAUUUACCUAAUACAAUUGUACAACUAUAAAUUUAAUGGUUAGUUGCAACCACUGUUUCACCAUAGUUUUGCCCCCAUUUGUGACAGCGAAUAUUUUUACCUAGUUGUUGGAUUGUCGCUUUCUAUGUUUUGUCUUUUUGGUCGACUUUAACAUGGUUUAGAGUUUUUGAACGCGUCUUCCAAGUGCAGAUGCCGAGUAUAUCAACAGUUCGAUGAAAUGCCCAUAUGAAUAAUUUGAGGACCCAGGGGGCCCGC